GGUCCCACCUGACCCCAUGCCGAACUCAGAAGUGAAACGCCGUAGCGCCGAUGGUAGUGUGGGGUUUCCCCAUGCGAGAGUAGGGAACUGCCAGGCA
rnacentral:rRNA from 1 species